rnacentral:rRNA from 1 species
UCGAACGCGAAAACCCCGCAAGGGGUUAGUAGAGUGGCAAACGGGUGAGUAACACGUGGGUGACCUGCCUUCGAGCGGGGGAUAACGUCCCGAAAGGGACGCUAAUACCGCAUAACAUCCUGCCUUUGAACAGGCGGAGAUCAAAGCCGGGGAUCGUAAGACCUGGCGCUUGAUGAGGGGCCCGCGUCCGAUUAGCUAGUUGGUGGGAUAACGGCUCACCAAGGCGACGAUCGGUAACCGGCCUGAGAGGGCGGACGGUCACACUGGGACUGAGACACGGCCCAGACUCCUACGGGAGGCAGCAGUGGGGAAUUGUUCGCAAUGGGCGCAAGCCUGACGACGCAAUGCCGCGUGGAGGAUGAAGGUCUUCGGAUUGUAAACUCCUGUUGCCCGGGACGAAAAGCUUAGACCUAAUACGUCUGAGUCUGACGGUACCGGGUGAGGAAGCCCCGGCUAACUCUGUGCCAGCAGCCGCGGUAAUACAGAGGGGGCAAGCGUUGUUCGGAAUUACUGGGCGUAAAGGGCGCGUAGGCGGCCUGUUAAGUCGAACGUGAAAUCCCUGGGCUCAACCCAGGAACUGCGUCCGAUACUGGCAGGCCUGAAUCCGGGAGAGGGAUGCGGAAUUCCAGGUGUAGCGGUGAAAUGCGUAGAUAUCUGGAGGAACACCGGUGGCGAAGGCGGCAUCCUGGACCGGCAUUGACGCUGAGGCGCGAAAGCCAGGGGAGCAAACGGGAUUAGAUACCCCGGUAGUCCUGGCCCUAAACGAUGAAUGCUUG